GGGGAAUCUAUUGUGUUUGGGAAACACACAAUACAGCAGAUGGAGAAGGAGUGGCCUGCCGAAGUGUGACCGUCUUUCAGGCAACUAAUAAAAAGCAGGUCAGUGGCAGCUGGCUGCAUUGACUCGUACGCCGGACAUGAGAAAAG